rnacentral:rRNA from 1 species
AUUGAACGCUGGCGGCAGGCCUAACACAUGCAAGUCGAGCGGAUGAAGGGAGCUUGCUCCUGGAUUCAGGGGCGGACGGGUGAGUAAUGCCUAGGAAUCUGCCUGGUCGUGGGGGAUAACGUCCGGAAACGGGCGCUAAUACCGCAUACGUCGUGAGGGAGAAAGUGGGGGAUCUUCGGAUGUCACGCUAUCAGAUGAGGAUAGGUUGGAUUAGCUAGUUGGUGGGGUAAAGGCGUACCAAGGCGACGAUGCGUAACUGGGCUGAGAGGAAGAUCAGGCACACUGGAACUGAGACACAGUCCAGACUCCUACGGGGGGCAGCAGUGGGGAAUCUUGGACGAUGGGCGAAAGCCUGAUCCAGCCAUGCCGCGUGUGUGAAGAAGGUCUUCGGAUUGUAAAGCACUUUAAGUUGGGAGGAAGGGCAGUAAGUUAAUACCUUGCUGUUUUGACGUUACCAACAGAAUAAGCACCGGCUAACUUCGUG